rnacentral:rRNA from 1 species
CCUACGGGAGACUGCAGUCGAGAAUCAUUCACAAUGGGGGAAACCCUGAUGGUGCGACGCCGCGUGGGGGAAUGAAGGUCUUCGGAUUGUAAACCCUUGUCAUGUGGGAGCAAAUUAAAAAGAUAGUACCACAAGAGGAAGAGACGGCUAACUCUGUGCCAGCAGCCGCGGUAAUACAGAGGUCUCAAGCGUUGUUCGGAAUCACUGGGCGUAAAGCGUGCGUAGGCUGUUUCUUCAGUCGUGUGUGAAAGGCGCGGGCUCAACCCGCGGACGGCACAUUAUCCUGAGAGACUAGAGUAAUGGAGGGGGAACCGGAAUUCUCGGUGUAGCAGUGAAAUGCGGAGAGAUCGAGAGGAACACUCGUGGCGAAGGCGGGUUCCUGGACAUUAACUGACGCUGAGGCACGAAGGCCAGGGGAGCGAAAGGGAUUAGAUACCCGAGUAGUC